AACAGGGAUCAGCUCAGCAUGGAAAUUGGGGCCUUGGCCUUGAAUUGUAGUCUCGAGAUGUAUUGCCAACGGAGGCGCAGAUGUAAGCCUCUUGGAAAAGAGCAUCAACGAGGGUGAGAGUCCCGUUUGUCAUCUGCAGACCCCCGUGCACGGCGUACCUUCCAAGAGUCGCGUUCCUCGGAAUUGGAGCGUAAAUUGGGUGGUAAAUUUCAUCUGAAGCUAAAUAUUGGUUCGAGACCGAUAGCAAACAAGUACCAUGAGGGAAAGGUGAAAAGGACUUUGAAAAGAGAGUUAAAAGUGCCUGAAAUUGCUGAAAGGGAAGCGAAUGGAACCAGUGCGCUUGGUGAGAUUGUCACAUGGCUUCCAUGUGGUGGUUCUUGCCUUGUGUGUCAUUGCCAGUUUGCAUUCGAGGAAAACUCCAGAGACAUGGUAGCCUGGCUCCGGCUGGGUGAAUGUGUCUGGUAGAACUCAUUUGCGGACUGUUUUCUGUGUCUGGUUGCAGUGCACUGUGCCAUCUGGGGGUGGCUGGAGAGGGAGUUUACUCCACUUCUUUGGCU
rnacentral:rRNA from 1 species